rnacentral:lncRNA from 1 species
GGGGACGGGGAGAGGGACAGGGACUGGGGGACCCCCGUCAGCAGGAGCGGCCCUCUCCGUCCCUCGGGCGCAGCCGGUGUUCCAGCGGCCGGUGGUGGUGGUGACGCUCGGAACGGCCUCGGGAGCGAGGAGCCGCUCGGGCCCUCGAGGAGCCGCUCCCGGUUCCAGCCGCUCCCGGGCGUGCCGAGCCUCCCGCAGCCCGUGCGGGCCGCCCCGAUAAUCCGCCGGUUCCAGGAACGCGGCGCUCGGUGCGGGCUUGUGGCACAGGCUCAGUGCAGGGUUCGCCGCUGACAUCGCUGAGGGAGCGGCUGCGGCAGGAAGCGUGUGAGGCACGAAGAGAGAAGCUGCUUGGCAUCUAAAUGUUUCGGAAAUGGCCAAAAAUUAUUGGCUCCCUAACCGAGCAGGCACUUAUCCCAGGAAAUGUGCCCUGGCAGAGGAUUCCUGCAUGUAAUGGAAAACCAGAAUUACUGAGAGCAACCAGCACCUGCCAAAAUCUGCUUCAGUGAGGAAUGGCCUGAGCUCACCAAAUGGAUGGUCAGAGCUGUUGGAUGUUCAAGCACUAAACUCAGCAGCCUUAAGGCUCACAGCUGAAGGAAUUGAAGGAACCCAGCAAGACUGCAUUGUGUGAGCAUUACUGCAUCACUUCAAUUAAGUCUUAAUUUUUUUAAUGAAAAAGACAAUAUUCUACUUGAAAUACAGAUACAAAUGUAUUAAUCUAGAACCUGUUUCUGUUCAUGGCUGUCCUUGUAUAUAGGAAGACCUUUGGAUCCUUAUACAAAGCCAGUGUUAAUGUUUCCAGAGUCUGGAGAUAAGAUAGUGGUUGUUUCCUUAACAACAGGUUUUCCCUGCAGGAAUAGAGCCUAUGGCUGAAACUGUGGCUGACAGGUUGAUUUCGGCUAUUAAACUACAAUCAACUCACAGGAGUCACUGAAUUUUUUUCUGCCCUCUCUCUGCAUGUAACUUAGGCAUCACAUGGACUACAACUCCUGACCUCAAGAUAAAUAUUUGUGCACCUGGAGUUAGGUCCUCA